rnacentral:misc_RNA from 1 species
GAAAUGCGAUAAGUAAUGUGAAUUGCAGAAUUCAGUGAAUCAUCGAAUCUUUGAACGCACCUUGCGCUCCUUGGUAUUCCUUGGAGCAUGCCUGUUUGAGUAUCAUGAAAUCUUCAAAGUAAAUCUUUUGUUAACUCAAUUGGUUUCUACUUUGGUAUUGGAGGUCUUUGCAGCUUCACACCUGCUCCUCUUUGUUCAUUAGCUGGAUCUCAGUGUUAUGCUUGGUUCCACUCGGCGUGAUAAGUUAUCUAUCGCUGAGGACACUGUAAAAGGUGGCCAAGGUAAAUGCAGAUGAACCGCUUCUAAUAGUCCAUGGACUUGGACAAUACUUUUAUGAUCUGAUCUCGAAUCAGGUAGGACUACCCGCUGAACUUAAGC